CAGAGACAGGUACUAGCGAUUCCACUGGGCGCUAUAGGCAGGGCGCACUCACCGAACUCCCCAAUCCCUUCCAGCCUCAGAGCCCGCCUGGCAGGACUACUGAGCAAGGCCUUGGAAAAUCGGAGCGAUUAGAGCGAAGUGCUUCGGUCAGGCAGUAUCUUUGAAAAUAAUUUGGCCAAUGAAAGCCCUGGCAUUGGAUGAAAGUGCUAGCUGCUGGGAAUGCUACCCCUCCUUUUGGUUCUCUUUCAAGUCCUUCAGGUUCAAACAAUACAGAAGUGUAUAAAGUAAGAAUUGAAAGUCUCUUCGCUGCUCUAAUCUCACUCCUCAGAGGUGAUCACUGUGUGGAAGAUGAUCAAAGUAUGACAUUUCUUCUACCCCAGAGGCUGGCAUUUCUGCAGGCACAAAUGAGCUUGGUUUUCAAGCACUGCUCUUUGAACACAAGGAAUUCCUUUAAUGAUCACGCCGGACUAUAUAGACUUUGGAAUCAGACUCUUUGAAUUCCAGCUCUGCCAUUUACCAACUUUGACACUUUGGACAACGUCUCAUUCUGUCACCCAGGCUGGAGUGCAGUGGCACAAUUAUAGCUCACUGCAGCCUCAAACACCUGGGCUCAAGCAAUCCUUCCACCUCUGCCUCCUGAGUAAUUGGGACUACAGGCAUGUGCCACCACACCCAGCUAAUUUUUAAUUUUUAAUUUUUUUGUAGAGAUGGCGGUCUUGCUAUGUCACCCAGGCUGGUCUUGAACACCUGGCCUCAAGUGAUCCUCCGGCCUUGGUCUCUCAAAGCUCUGGGAUUACAGACAUGAGCCACUGCACCCGGCUCUAUCUCCCCUUCCUAUGUGUGUUAGCUCUAGAACAAGAGAAGCCUUGUUGAGAUUCCUGGCUGCCCACCCCCCAUCACCUCUCUGACUUUGGGCAAGUUGCCUGGCCUCUCUCAGCCUUUAUUUUCUUUUUGUGAAAUGGGGAUAAUAAUAGUACUUGCCUCAUAGGCAAAAUGUUGUGAGAACUAAACGAGAAAAUGCAUGUAAAGCACUUGGCACUUAGUUCUUUUUAUGAUUAUAAUGAUAAUCAGACACAAUAAAUUAUGUCUCACA
rnacentral:lncRNA from 10 species